rnacentral:rRNA from 1 species
CCUACGGUUGGCAGCAGUGGGGGAUAUUGCACAAUGGGGGAAACCCUGAUGCAGCGACGCCGCGUGAGUGAAGAAGUAUUUCGGUAUGUUAAGCUCUAUCAGCAGGGAAGAAAAUGACAGUACCUGACCAAGAAGCCCCGGCUAACUACGUGCCAGCAGCCGCGGUACUACGCAGGGGGCAAGCGUAAUCCGGAUUUACUGGGGGUAAAGGGGGUGUAUAGGGUUUUGUAAGUGUGGAGUGAAAGCCCGGGGCCCAACCCCGGGACUGCUUUGGAAACUGUGUAACUGGAGUACAGGAGGGGCAGGCGGAAUUCCUGGUGUAGCGGUGAAAUGCGUAGAUAUCAGGAGGAACACCGGCGGCGAAGGCGGCCUGCUGGACUGAAACUGACGUUGAGGCUCGAAAGCGUGGGGAGCAAACAGGAUUAGAUACCCCUGUAGUC